UACGGAGGGUGCUAGCGUUGUUCGGAAUCACUGGGCGUAAAGCGCGUGUAGGCGGCCCACUAAGUCUGAUGUGAAAGCCCGGGGCUCACCCCCGGAAGUGCAUUGGAAACUGGUGGACUCGAGUCCCGGAGAGGAGAGUGGAAUUCCUGGUGUAGCGGUGAAAUUCGUAGAUAUUCGCGAGAACACCAGUGGCGAAGGCGGCUCACUGGCCCGGUACUGACGCUGAGGUGCGAAAGCGUGGGGAGCAAACAGG
rnacentral:rRNA from 1 species